rnacentral:rRNA from 1 species
GACGAACGCUGGCGGCGUGCUUAACACAUGCAAGUCGAACGAAGUGGCGAACGGGUGAGUAACGCGUAAUCAACCUGCCCUUAAGAGGGGGACAACAGUUGGAAACGACUGCUAAUACCGCAUACUGAAGGAGGAGAUUGCGGCGGAUUAGCGAGGUGGAGGGGUAACGUCCCACCACGGCGAUGAUCAGUAGCCGGUCUGAGAGGAUGAACGGCCACAUUGGGACUGAGACACGGCCCAGACUCCUACGGGAGGAAGCAGUGGGGAAUCUUCCGCAAUGGACGAAAGUCUGAGGAGCAACGCCGCGUGAGUGAUUAAGGCAUUCGGGUUGUAAAGCUAUGUUAAUCGGGACGCGGUACCGGAAUAGAAAGCCACGGCUAACUACGUGCCAGCAGCCGCGGUAAUAC